CAUGGACAGAUCAGUUCUGAUCAGAAACCCAGGUGAUCUGGAGUCCUUUGCUUUCCAUUCACUGACCUUGGAGAGAAUUUACAGCCUCUCUGGCCUUCAGACUCCUCCCCAGUACCGUCUGCUAGUCUCACGCCUUCUGUCAUUUUCAGAGCUCUUGAAAUCUUCAGUAGUUUGCCUGGGACCACUCAAUGUCCACAGUUUUUAAUCACAGCAGAAAAUUUUAUUUGACCUGAAGCUCCCAGGGGAAUUUUUUUUAAGAGUAACCAUCAUUAUCAUUUCCUUGAAACGUAAAGACCUUUCCUGUGGGCCACAGAUUUUCACGUCUCUAGAGAAGUAAAUCUCUCUCUUACUUUUACACUAAUUUUCCCCCAACGUUCAAGGGUCUUGUUCCCCAUCAAAACCCCUAAAAAAUCUGUUCCUCCUGCUCAUUGUAGCUCAAGGAGCCAACUAGUCUGGCCCUUCUGUCACGUAAACAGAAGCCUCAAAUCUGCGCUCUAUGCUCUAGAACAAAGUUCAACUUUUCUAUCAUUCUCGGCCACCAUGAGUUUGCUUCUCUACCAGCUAACUAUAGCAGAAAGCAAUUCAGUCAUUUUUUUCACACCAAAACUGCCAACACUUCCAAUUCUCUUCUCAAAAUAUAAUCACAAGAUUUUCUACAUGCACAGUCAUCAGUGAAUGCUUAAGAAGUCAUAAGUCAAAAGGGCAAGUAGCUUGACUGUCAUAUUUUCCCCUCAUGGAUGACAUAUUAUAUAUAAAAAUAGCAGCAAGUCAUUCUUUAUUACUUAUAUUACCCUUCUUGAAUUUAUUUGCCAAAGAAAAGCAGGAAAAGGAACAGACAUUUCUCACGAAGGGCACACACUGGAAAUGUACUUGGCAGAAAGCAAAUGAGAAAACAGUAGAUGAUGUCAUAUACUUGUUGCAUCUGAUCACAUAGAUCUCAUAUUCGCAUUGCAUCUGAUCACAUAGAUCACAUAUAUGCAUUGCAUCUGAUCACUGAUACUAGUGACAUGAUUUCUAAUAACUUUUUAUGUAUUGAAAAUUGCCCAAAACUCCUGCUGUGCUGUUCCUUUUGGAAGCUGGCUGGUAUGUAGUGUUUAAGUAUUUUAAAACCAUCCUUUGGUAGGCCUGUUCCACUUUAGCUAAAGUUAUGACAGCUUAGUUAGCUUGGUUAGCUCAAAAAAAGAAGGCGUAGUUUAUUCUCUCUCUCUCUCUCCUCCUCUCUCCUGCAGAUACAGAAUAUUCGUAUUUUUAAAUAAAGUAAAAUAGCCUAUUUUAGAAAUGUGGAAAGGGUGAGUUUGAAUGUGUUGUUAAUUUAAUACACUGUCAGUGUAAAUAGACUAGACAUGAGAAGGGGUAAUUCAGUAAAAACAUUAUAUUUUUGAAUUAGGAUUAUUUUAAUAAUGAUAAUGUAUUCUUAUGAAAUAGAACCAAGUUUUUUCUCUCUCUCUCUCUCUUUCUUUUUUUUUUUGGUAUUAUAGUACAUUCACAACUUGAAAGAAGCAACCACAUAACUAGUCACCUCACCUAUGUCCCUUUCCUGGCUGUCUGAUUUAUCCAAAGAACAUCUCCUUGGUCAGCAUUACAAACUAUUUCCUUAUAUUCUUACACUUGUUUAUUCAUCUUUUCCCAUGUCAUGUUUUGUCAUCAGAGAAGGAAAAAAAUCACAUUCAACUUUUCUUUCUUUUUUUUUCCCCCACUCAUGUUCUAUCCUAAGGUGAAAAACAGUUAAAUGAAGAGUUGGUUCAAAGCUUACUUGAAAUACGGAUAUAUUAUUCUCAACAAGAGAAAUUUUAAAUUUAAAUUCCAUUAUCUUGUGUAAAAGUUCUUUUAAUUCAGUCUUGAAAACACACACAUUUUCUAGAUAUGACCUGUAAUUUUUUCCCUUGACUUCCGUGUUUUGCAGAAGUUCAUAGAUUUUGCUAACACUUUUUUUUUUUUGGUUAACAAUUUUAAAAGAACUGCUUUCGUGAUCUAAUGAUUACAAUUUGGUAAUUAGCUGGCGUAGCGUUUCAACAUGUAAGUGCUAUGCUUCGGCUGGGUUAGCCAGUAUUCUGGAAACUAGACUGGAGUCACAGAAGAUUCUGACAUGGUUCUUGUCUUCCUGUUCAUACUUUCACUGUGGACCCCAGAGACAUCUAGCUUCUGUGAUUCUGCCACAAUCCACCAUUCCCCAAACAUCACUGAUGGCAAAGCUACAAUCACAUAGCUUUUCCCUCAAGCUCCUUGCUUUUCAGUCAUUAACAAAAAAGAAAGAAGGAAAAAUGCUAAAGGGACGGAGAAAAACCCAGUGCCUAACAGCUGGUUUCAGCAGUUUCAACUUGCGCAAGACCCCACGUUUGUGAAAACAGCCCAAGAAUCUUUGAACAGGAUGUAAUCAACCUCCGAUCUGCUGAGAAACACUGCAAAAAUGACUUCAGCUGCCAAAAAUAAUAACGUCCUUUACAGGCAGCUCUUCCUAUAUCUAAGGAGGAACUAGCCAUACAUGUGAGUUUAUGCUGGUUUCAGGACAAGCAAGGAAAAGGGCAAAUCCUCCCUCCCUCCCCUGAAAUACACAGUAUCAGAGCCCACGGGAAGCUGGGGCCCAUUUCAAAGGUGCUGGCAAUACUGAGGGAGAUUCACAGCCACAAAAACCUGAACAGUUUCAACAUUUCCAUAAAAGAAAAAAGAGAGAAGGAUACAAAACAGACAUAUUUAUGGCAAGUUUGAGGACUCCUAGGUUUUAACAAUCUCUGUGCAAAAGCACUAAUUGCCUGGCUUUGAAUUGGACUCUUGACUCUUGAAGCAGGGAUGGGAUUGAGACAAGCACCAAUCCUGGCACAGAUCAAGUACCAAGUACAUGUGUCCUGAGUUCCUGAGGGAAUAAAUGCAGAGAAGAAGGAAACGGUGGAGAAGUGUAGCAUGUGUUAUCACCGGUCAGAAUGAAGUGCUGGGGCUUUGGAAAGUUUGAAAACUGAUCUGCCAAGAUUCUUUUCCAUUAGAGCUUAUUACAAGAAAUUGAAUGUUGACAUAUGUUCUAUUGAGUUACAGUAGACAGAGCUGGAAGAAAUGAAUCAAAAUAAAGGAGUCAAAUAUCACUGGGAAGUGUAAUAAGCUGUUUCAAAGCAUCCCCCUGCUUGUGCAUUUACCUCAGGGAUAUAAAGAGGCAAAUCUUAAAGCCAUGUAUUCUGAUCGAGAGACAGCUGGAAAUGGCAGCGACCUAAUACGAAGUAAUCAAGAACUGAAGGGUUAUUUUGAAUGAGAGGUGUUGUCCAGCUGUGAGACUGAGUGAUGGCAGCUGAGAAUAAGUGCAAACAUAGUCAGCAGUGACUCCAGGUAUGAAGGUAUCAUGAAUCCAUCUUGUUCUCCGUCUUUUUCUGCUGCCACAUUCACACUGCAUCCGUAGGUUGCAGUGUUGUCUGCAGAGGAGGAAGAAAGUUCUUCAGUUUAUUCUUAUUCUUAAUGACAGCUUCUGAACUGUCAUGAUUUGAAAUUAUAAUGGUACAGAUGGCUCUUUCAGAUAAAAGAAACAAUAUAUUCCAGAGCCAAAUUGUAUAUUGGACAGGUGUGAAUGCUUCA